CUCGUGGGUGAGCCCUGUUGGAGGAGGUGAGGGGGGGAUAUAGAGAUGAGAAUAGAGUUCUGCUAGCUGGAGUAGUGGAGUAUCCAUGUGCGAGGUCAAGUCCAUGUCUUCCUGUUGGGUCCCCACUUUAUUUGGAGGGGUAGUGUGUGGGGGCUCCCCCUGCCCAAACCUCCUGCCUGUGUUUUGUGACAUUUCCCGUUAGGAGUUUUCAAAAUUACCCUUUUAAAAAAAUUUUAUUACGUUAGUCGCCAUGCAGUACGUUAGUUUUUGAUGUAGUGUUCCAUGAUUCAUUGUAUUUGUGUAACACCCUCACUCCUUCUGAUCAAGAUUUGCUUUGAUGAGCAAAAUAAAUCAGAGAAAGAUAAAUACUGUAUGAUUUUACUCAUCUGUGGAGUUUAUAAAGAAAAAAAAAACAAAUGAGCCAAGAGAAGAAAAAAGAGUCAAACCAAGAAACACUCUUAAGUAGAGAGAACAACCUGUUGUUACCGAGGGGAGGUGUUUGGGGGAAUGGGUUGAAUAGGUGAUAGGGAUUAGGAUGAGCACCAGGUGUUGCCUGGAAGUGUUGAAGCGCUAGAUUGUACACCUGAAAUGAGUAUCAUAGUGUAUGUGGACUAAUUGUAAAUAAGAACUUUAAAAAAGUUUCCUUGGGAGAAUUUCUUUUUCUCUUUAGGAUUUUAUUUAUUUGUAUGUAUGUAUGAGAGAGAGACAGAGAGGCAGAGAGGCAGAGGGAGAAACAGGCCCCCGCUGAGCAAGGAUCCCAAUGUGGGACUCAAUCCCAGGACCCUGGGACCAUGACCUGAGCCAAAGGCAGACGCUUAAUCGACUGAGCCGCCCAGGUGUCCCUGGAAGGCUUCCUGAUCAACAGUCAAGUUCUUUGUAGUUAGUGGUUUUGUGUUUCAGUGCCAGCAAAGCUUUUUCAGAUUGGCAUGUCUCAUGUUGGAGGGAAUGUGCAUGGCAGUUGUAGACUACUCAAGUGACACCUGAGGAACAGGGAGGGUUAGAUGGGAGAAACUCACGAACUUCCCAUGUGAAGUCUGUAUCUGCUCAAGACUGAGACCAGUGAGCCAGCAUCACUUCAUUGGAGACAGUGUUUCUACAAAGGACUGAGAGACAGCAAGUACAGAAUCAAAAACAAGAUGACAAUUCCAAACCAUAUGCUGGUUUUAAUCCAGGACCCUAGGUCUGAAAGGAGCCAACUGAAAAUAUUUAUUGGCACUUGUUUGGACUGAAGGCAAACCCGGAGUCCUGUAUGCCUCCUGGAAGUGUCCUCCCCCAGUGGCUAGAAACAAAACAGACAAAUACUGCAGGAAUGCACUGAAUGAAAUCACUGAGCACAUUAGGGAACAUAGAGUACACUGAAGAACAUGAAGCAAUAGUUAGAGAACUUGUUGCAAGAAUAGGAAUACUUCUGGGACAUUUCAAAACAGUAUUGUUCUUUCAAAAGAACUGUUUAGAACUAUAUGGGUUAUCAGUAGUGGUCUGUUAUGUUGUAAAUUCAGAAACCAUGCAUUUGGAUUAGAAUCAGGAUUCAGUUAGUAGUUGAGGUAAAAGAAAGACUUUUGAAUUCUGAACCUUCUAAACCUCUAGAAAUGCUCACAAGAUCAAAAGGAGGCGAUUUUAGGGAAGAUCAUAAUCCAAAGAGGUUUCCUCCUUUUGCAAGAGACUGGGAUAUGCAGAAAAUGGCAUGUUCUUUGCACAAAAGAGGUAGAAGGAGCAACAGUGAGAAAAGGAAUGCAGGCCUGGUCUGGACAUGUGGGGCAAGCUGUCUCCCCAGAUGUUUUCUAUUGCAAUUUGGGAAGUAUUUACCUUCUUGUCACCAGCUGGUGUACAGGUCCAGUCAGGGUUUGGUGCCUUCUUUAAAUGUGUCCCGUGGACCCAAGAGUCCAUUCCCUGGGAUUUGGCAGCACAAGGUUUGGUUAGCAGUAUGUGAUAAGGGCCUCUCAAGGGAGGUUGAAGAGAAUCUCUGUGGAGGUGUCUUUUCCAAUGGAGAGACUCUCCAGGUUGCAAGGUGUGAUGAUCAAGGGAGUAAGUUGUGUCACUCUCCGUGGAAUGAAGAUCAAGCCGGGUUCCAUCGGGAAAGGCAUCCCCUCCUUCGACGUCCAGGGCUCCUCCCCCCAUUUAUUCUCACCAGUGUCACACAAAUAGUCAGGUACUGUGUGGGUGGGGCCGGCGUGUUGGGGUGGCCCUGCAGGUUGGGAUCCACAGGCCUGUUGCUCCAGAUCAUUGACGACAAGGGCAACAGCCUGCCGUUCAACACUGAAGGCAACAUUGGCAUCAGGAUGAAGCCCACCAAGCCCAUUGGCCUCUUCAUGGGCUAUGAAGACAACCCAGUAAAGACAGCCAAAGUGGAGUGUGGGGACUUUUACAACUCUGGAGAUAGAGCAACUAUGGAUGAAGAGGGCUACAUCUGGUUCCUGGGGAGGAACGAUGACAUCAUCAAUGCCUCUGGACUAUACACUUGGUUGCCACUCCCCCUGAGCCUCCACUCUGGUUCUGCGCUGCAGGUGGUGAAGGCAUUUAUUGUCCUGACUCCGGAAUUCCUCUCCCAUGACCGGGACCAGCUCACCAAGGAGCUACAGCAGCAUGUGAAGUCAGUGCCAGCCCCGUGUAAGUACCCCAGGAAGAUGGAAUUUGUCUCAGAGCUGCCCGAAACCGUCACUGGCAAGAUUAAAAGAAGUGACCUUCGGAAAAAGGAGUUUGGUCAGAUGUAAUCAGCAAAACCCUCAGAAACCACUGUGUCUUCUUUGCCAAAUCCCUGGCUGCCUCAGUUUCCUCACUAUGGGGAGGGUGAGGAGGGGAGUGUUGGACAUUGAUUUUAAGAGCAUCAGGAGUGCUCACAUUGCAGCAUUUUUGUUCUUUUAAAUUACUAUCCAUUACUCUCCUGCUUCCAAGUCCCCGAGUGAGCGCCCAGGAUGUAGCUGGGGUAAUAAAGGGACAUGAGCAUCCAAGGGGACUUGUGUUGUGCUUUGAUUCUGUGAAUGAACCAGAGCUAAAUGCGGUCCCUCCAUGAUUCUCCCCAAGCCCCAUUGGAGAGGACUCUGGGGCCAGAUUCUCCCCCCUGGUUCCAGGGGCCCUGGGUGACUCCUGUUGUCUGUUCAACAACCACAACACAGAGGUCUGGGGAGGGACCCUUCCUUGGCCCCAGGUGUCCACCUCUGCCUGGCUUGCCCAUGCCCUGCUGGAGGGUGAGGUCAGGGCCAAGCUAGUGAGGUGGCUGGGGAAGGGGGAAGGCACCGAGGGCAGCCCAGCCUGGUGGUUCCACCUGCCUGCCAGACCAUUCCUCACCGCUCCAUCCAGCAUGCCAUGGACCCGCUGCCUCUGUAUGGUGCUGCUUCCAGGUCCCAGCCUGCACCAGCUUAGGUGUGGGAGGGAUCUGCCCUGUGGGGACCCAGGAAACCUGCAAGACUCCUCCAGCCCUUUCCGGGGUGCCCAAUCCCCCAUGCCUUCCAUGGAGCCCAGGAGCUCCGUUCCCCAGCCCUCCGUAGGGCCCCCCAAUCACUCACCCUUCCCCAGGGCCCAGGAAUCCCUCAGCCUCCCCAGGGGCCCGGAGCUCUCCCCACACUUUAUGAGGUCCUCCUGCCAUCUGUAGCCCGAGAGAUGAUGUGUGCAAAGGGCAGGGCUUAGCACAGGCCUGAAACAGGAGGGACCUCUGGUUGUCACCAGUGUUGCUUUGAACAGCUGUGAGACGUGAGGCACCGGAUCUGGGAAGGCACUUGCCCCAUGGAGAUGAUGAUGCUAAUGUCCACAGGUGCUCAGCACGGGGCUUCCUCUUGUCCUCAGCACAGUUAUGGACACAGGCUUGGACGCCCCAGCUCCCUGAAGGAAAGCAGCCCAGGGUCACAGAGCUGGUAAGCAGCACAGCUGGAUCUCACACUCUAGGCUCCCGGCCCUGUUUCCAGGGGCCACGAAGGGCUUCGUAGACAGGAGGCUGACACUGGCUUUGGGGACACUUCCUCACCUCCACGAGUGAUCUCACCUGUUCGAGGCCCCCAAACUCUGUUCACUGCUUCUUCUUCCCUGCUCCCUGUUCCAGUUAUAAUCAGGGUGACCCCGGCCAUCCUUCCUGGAAUUCCCUAGUCCCCCUUAUAGGCUGGGCCUAUAUAUAUAUAGUCUGACUCCACCCCUUCUGUAGCUGCUCUCUCCUUCUAUAACCAGGACCACCCGACUCUGGGGCUCUGGAGGCGGGCAGCAGCUUCUAAACAGAAUUUAAUACAAAUGUUUUGCUAUCCUUGUUUUGUUUUUGUUUGCGUGUCUUUUAUGGCUUCUUUAUAUUUUAUGGCUAAUUAUAUAAAUAUAUUUAUAUUUAUGUUAAAGAUACUGCGUUCCUAUUUUAGCAGUGCUGAAAUGGUUCCUGUUUACAAGAAAUUUACACAGUAAGUGGUGGUUUGUAGAGCAUUGAUUUUCAGCUGCCUUGGGCCUGAAUGAGUUGGGAUUAACUCACAAUUAGAUAACACUAAUUGUGUUAGUCCUAGAGAGAAACAGUUUAGGAGGUUCGGCUCAGGACAGGGCCCAAGAGAGAUGAUCACAGGGGGUUUGUCCAGUCACCUGGGUCCCUGGCCCUGCCCACCUGCUUGGCUCUCCCCGUCCAGCACACCUGGGGCUGCCAGCUCUCUGGGUGUUGUCUUGGAUCCCCCAGGAGAGAAGCUGGUGAAUGUUUUCUCUUAAAAUGCUCUCAUUCCUGGAGGUCCCAAGAGAUCCCAUGAGAGUCAGCUUGGAUUGUUUCCCCUGUGAGGUUCAUAUCGUAAAGCCCAAGCUAGUGGGUAGCAGGGUCACAUAGAUAAGCGACAGAUCUACCGCUGUUGGAGGUGUUCAAAUGUCUCCGUCAAUUAGGGAUGAUUUUGAGGCCAUUCGGUCUUCUCAUACUAAUAUCCCAGGAUAUACCAGCCCAGAAGACAUAUCUGAUUACAAUUUUGUCAUGCUUAUUUCAUUCGGUUCCAAUGUAGCUUUUUCUUUGGGAUUUCUUUACUCCUAUUUUAUUUGUAGAGGUACUUCUCAAUUUCUAAACAUAUGGGAAUUUCUAGUGAGCUUUUUAUCCAUGAUUUCUAGCACAUUAUAUUACCACAACAUGCUCUGUGUGAUUUCAUGCCUCUGAAACAUAUUGAAAUGUCCCUUAUGACCAAAAUAGAUCGGGUGCAUUUUUGUAAGUGUAUCCUAUAUGCCUAAAGUUAAUGUGUCCUCCACAGUGGUCUAUGGAUGUGGACAGACAUACGGAGAUAGCUGUGGGAUUCAGAUGGUUUGCUCUCAAGGUCUACAUGUUAUGGAUGUUCUGUCUGCUUUGAGUCACUGAGAGAGGGUUGAAACCUCCCACUCUGCUUGUGUAUUUGCUUGUUGUUGCAGUUCUGUCCUCCUUUGCUUUAUAUGUUGUUCAGCCAAUGGCUCUAGGAUGGGAGUUCUGGAAGGAAGGAGAUAGCGCCCAGAAGAGGGCAACAGGGACCUGGGUUGGGAGGCAGCAGAAACAAGAAGGAUGGCCAAAGUUCCAGAGAGGACCUGUUAUUGGGAUGGCACGUGGUGGGGCGCCAGUUGGGAAGGGGCUCUUUAAAUAUGAGGUCACGCGGGGUGCCCAUUAUGACCUACCAGGGGCAAAGGCAGAUGAUUGGCUGAGAGAGAGUAUAAAGCCUCUGGGUUGCUAAGGAAUGGUUCAACCAGGGGAAGGCUUGGAGAAAAGUGUAUCCUCCUCCAAUCCCUUCACCUGCUACUGUUUCCUGCUGACCUAGUGAUUUACUAACCUGCUGACCUACUACCCUUUCUGAACCUCCCCUCGAGUACUUACUCUGACCCUGACACCGUCGCUGACCCCUUCUUCUCCUGACAAACGCCUUCCCCAAUCCCACCCUUUAUUUCUACCCUGCUCCCAACCCUCAUUAAAACCCUAUCCCCUUCCCACCCCUUCCCACCCCUCCCUACCCCACCCACCCCUACCUCCACUCCACCCCCCAUCUCCACCUCCUCCCUGACGCCCCAGCACCCCUUGAAAGGACCAAGACAUGAAGGUGCAGAGGCUGUUGUUCCUGGUGCUCUUGCUGCGGUGUCCCGGUUCCCCAAACCCAAAUCUUGUCCAUGUUGUGCCUGACCGUUUCCUUCUUGGCCCUGAUGGGGUUGGAGUUCUAUGGAAACUUCCCAUUAUCACUGCCCCCUUGGGAGUUUGUGUCUUUCUCAUUUAUAUCUGGAGAACCAUCCUCGCUGUAAGUAUACUAAAGUAGCUUAUAUAUACUGUUCUUCAUAAAUGAGCAGAAAAUUUUAUAGUUAUUGGACCUUUUAUAUCCAUUCAGUAAUAGAAAUAUCCCUCUAAUACAUCAAUUUUGAUGAUCACCUAGAUUGAAAUAGAUUUAAAUUUGUGUUGCAGUGCCUUCUGUGAUCCAUAUGUUCUUUUUUUUUUUUUUUUAAGUUCAAGCAUAAUUGGCCAACAGUGUAGUAUUAGUUUCAGGUGUACAACAUGAUUCAGCAAUUCUAUACAUUUCUCAGUGCUCAUCACAAUAAGUGUACUCUUAAUCCCCUUCACCUCUUUCAUCCAUCCCUCCACCCACCUGCCCUCCAACCCAUGUGUUCUUUAGAAGUGUGUUGUUUAAUCUCCAUUUUUUGGUCAUUCUCUAGCUAUCUUUCAGUACUUGGUGUCUAGUUUGAGUCAUUUGUGGUCUGAGAACAUACGUCCUGUGAUUUCUUUUCCUUUGGUCGUUCAGAUGUAUCUUAUGGCCCAGAAUAUGGCCUCUCUUAGUGAAUGUUCCAUGGGAACUUGAGAAGAAUGUCUUUAGUUUGGUUGUUGAAUGGAUUAUUCUGCAGAUGUUAAUGGAUCCAGUUGAUUGGUGAUGCUUUUCAGUUCACCUGUAUUCUCAUGGAAUUUCUGUAUCUGUUGGAUCUGUCAAUGACUGAUAGAGGGUUCUGAAUUCCCCAGCUAUAAUAGGGAUUCAUCUGUUUCCAUCAGCAAUUCUUUCAGUUUCUGCCUGAUGUACUUCGACACUCUGUUGUUAAUGCAUGCACAUGAGAAAUUAUUAUGUCUUUUGGAGGAUUGACACCUUUACCGUUGAAGUAAUGCCCAUCAUUAUCCCCGACGGUUUUCCUUACUCUGUAGUGUGUUUUGAAGGAUCAUUUCACUGGCCACAGGUUUCUCGUUGGAUGUUUCUGUUAACACUUUAAACAU